UACGGGGGGAGCAAGCGUUGUUCGGAUUUACUGGGCGUAAAGGGCGCGUAGGCGGCCUCCGCAAGUCAGUUGUGAAAUCUCCGAGCUUAACUCGGAAAGGUCAACUGAUACUGUGCGACUAGAGUGCAGAAGGGGCAACUGGAAUUCUCGGUGUAGUGGUGAAAUGCGUAGAUAUCGAGAGGAACACCUGCGGCGAAGGCGGGUUGCUGGGCUGACACUGACGCUGAUGCGCGAAAGCCAGGGGAGCGAACGGG
rnacentral:rRNA from 1 species